AACGAACGCUGGCGGCAUGCCUAACACAUGCAAGUCGAACGAGACCUUCGGGUCUAGUGGCGCACGGGUGCGUAACGCGUGGGAACCUGCCCUUAGGUUCGGAAUAACUCCCCGAAAGGGGUGCUAAUACCGGAUAAUGUCUUCGGACCAAAGAUUUAUCGCCUUUGGAUGGGCCCGCGUUGGAUUAGCUAGUUGGUAGGGUAAAAGCCUACUAAGGCGACGAUCCAUAGCUGGUCUGAGAGGAUGAUCAGCCACACUGGGACUGAGACACGGCCCAGACUCCUACGGGAGGGAGCAGUGGGGAAUAUUGGACAAUGGGCGAAAGCCUGAUCCAGCAAUGCCGCGUGAGUGAUGAAGGCCUUAGGGUUGUAAAGCUCUUUUACCCGGGAUGAUAAUGACAGUACCGGGAGAAUAAGCCCCGGCUAACUACGUG
rnacentral:rRNA from 1 species